UGUCCAGCAACUCCUAUCCCUACCCCCGCGUGGUACCGGCUGGAAACUACGAGCAACCUUAGGGAAGAUCGGGUAACCAACCACAAAGGGGACCUUGGUCGUAGGCUGACAGGGAAGA
rnacentral:ribozyme from 1 species